rnacentral:rRNA from 1 species
GACGAACCGAGCGAACGUUGUUCGGAAUCACUGGGCUUAAAGGGCGCGUAGGCGGGGUCAUAAGUCUGUGGUGAAAUCCUCCGGCUCAACCGGAGAACUGCCUCGGAUACUGUGGCUCUCGAGGGUGGUAGGGGUAUGCGGAACUAUCGGUGGAGCGGUGAAAUGCGUUAUAUCGAUAGGAACUCCGGUGGCGAAGGCGGCAUACUGGACCACUUCUGACGCUGAGGCGCGAAAGCCAGGGGAGCAAACGGG